AAUAAGUUGCAGGGUCCAAUGCCACAGUUUGGAAAUAAGGUUAAGGUGGAGAUUGGGAGUACUAAUAGUUUUUGUUUGGAUAUUCCUGGACCUUGUGAUUCGCAGGUUAUGACGCUUUUAGAUGUGGCGGGUGGUUUUGGAUAUCCGGGGUUUUUGGCUGAUUCUUGGAAAGGAAAUGAUGCUUGUAAUGGAUGGUCACAUGUAAGUUGUGAUGGAUCGAAAAAGAAAGUGGAUGUUGUAACACUUGGUAAGCUACGUUUAUCGGGUUUUAUAUCUCCUGCUUUUGCUAAAUUG
rnacentral:misc_RNA from 1 species